rnacentral:rRNA from 1 species
AUAGCGUAUAUUAAAGUUGUUGUGGUUAAAAAGCUCGUAGUUGAACCUUGGGCCUGGCUGGCCGGUCCGCCUCACCGCGUGUACUGGUCCGGCCGGGCCUUUCCCUCUGUGGAACCCCAUGCCCUUCACUGGGUGUGGCGGGGAAACAGGACUUUUACUUUGAAAAAAUUAGAGUGCUCCAAGCAGGCCUAUGCCCAAAUACAUUAGCAUGGAAUAAUAAAAUAGGACGUGUGGUUCUAUUUUGUUGGUUUCUAGAACCGCCGUAAUGAUUAAUAGGGACAGUCGGGGGCAUCAGUAUUCAAUUGUCAGAGGUGAAAUUCUUGGAUUUAUUGAAGACUAACUACUG